UUCAGGUUGUUGCCAUUCCAGAGACUAGCACACUAGUAGGGCUGAGUGCCAAGUGUACUAUAGACAAUUUUGCAAGGAGCUGCAAAAUUCCAAACACCAGAAGGAAUGAAACACAGAGAGCAGCUGAUCAAGUGAGAAUUGAACUGAGAACAGAAGAUGCCACCAUGCACAUAUUGCUAUGAAUAUGAUAACCAAAACUUCACCAAUCCUUCAAGAACUGGAAUAUCCUUUUCAAAGAAUUACAUAAUUGUCAUCCAAAAAAUUGUGCUAUUUUGUUUAAGCUUCACAUAUGAGUUGAA